GCGUCGGUAGUGUCAAUGUAGCACAUCAGCCUUUUAAGCUGACUGGUCAGGGUUCAAGUCCCUGUCGACGCACCA
rnacentral:tRNA from 1 species